GGUGAACCUGUUGGUGAAAGUGAUCUGGCUUCCAAACCCACAUCCAGGACUGAGAUUCAGGGAGCUGGUGAGGGUGCGUCUGCCAGAAGGAUUUCUCUAACUCCUUUGCUGGUUUCUGCACACAAGCCCAGCACCCAUCACAGGGGUCCUCCAAGAGGAAGGAACAAAGCUUCAGGACACAAGGAACCCCAUGAGCCAUCUAAAAGGAAAAUGCAAAUACUGAAGGAAUUGCUGCUGGGAGGACAAG